AUUGAACGCUGGCGGCAGGCCUAACACAUGCAAGUCGAGCGGAGCGGCGGACGGGCGAAUAAUGCCUAGGAACCUGCCUGGUAGUGGGGUAUAACGUCCGGACACGGGCGCUAAUCCAGCAUUCUAUCAGAUGAGCCUAGGUCGGAUUAGCUAGUUGGUGGGGUAAAGGCCUACCAAGGCGACGAUCCGUAACUGGUCUGAGAGGAUGAUCAGUCACACUGGAACUGAGACACGGUCCAGACUCCUACGGGAGGCAGCAGUGGGGAAUAUUGGACAAUGGGCGAAAGCCUGAUCCAGCCAGGCCGCGUGUGUGAAGAAGGUCUUCGGAUUGUAAAGCACUUUAAGUUGGGAGGCGUUACCAACAGAAUAAGCACCGGCUAACUUCGUGCCAGCAGCCGCGGUAAUUC
rnacentral:rRNA from 1 species